rnacentral:misc_RNA from 1 species
GAUGAAGAACGUAGCGAAAUGCGAUAAGUAAUGUGAAUUGCAGAAUUUAGUGAAUCAUCGAAUCUUUGAACGCACAUUGCGCCCGCCAGUAUUCUGGCGGGCAUGCCUGUUCGAGCGUCAUUUCAACCAUCAAGCCCCCGGGCUUGUGUUGGGGACCUGCGGCUGCCGCAGGCCCUGAAAACCAGUGGCGGGCUCGCUAGUCACUCCGAGCGUAGUAGUUACAUCUCGCUCAGGGCGUGCUGCGGGUUCCGGCCGUUAAAAGCCUUUUACCCCAAGGUUGACCUCGGAUCAGGUAGGAAGACCCGCUGAACUUAAGCAUAUCAAUAAGCGGAGGA